rnacentral:rRNA from 1 species
UGGCGGCACGCUUAACACAUGCAAGUCGAACGAGCGAAAGAGUGCUUGCACUCUCUAGCUAGUGGCGGACGGGUGAGUAACACGUGAGCAAUCUGCCUUUCGGAGAGGGAUACCAAUUGGAAACGAUUGUUAAUACCUCAUAACAUAACGAAGCCGCAUGACUUUGUUAUCAAAUGAAUUUCGCCGAAAGACGAGCUCGCGUCUGAUUAGGUAGUUGGUGAGGUAACGGCCCACCAAGCCGACGAUCAGUAGCCGGACUGAGAGGUUGAACGGCCACAUUGGGACUGAGACACGGCCCAGACUCCUACGGGAGGCAGCAGUGGGGAAUAUUGCACAAUGGGCGAAAGCCUGAUGCAGCGAUGCCGCGUGAGGGAAGAAGGUUUUAGGAUUGUAAACCUCUGUCUUUGGGGACGAUAAUGACGGUACCCAAGGAGGAAGCUCCGGCUAACUACGUGCCAGCAGCCGCGGUAAUACGUAGGGAGCGAGCGUUGUCCGGAAUUACUGGGUGUAAAGGGAGCGUAGGCGGGAUUGCAAGUCAGGUGUGAAAUUUAGGGGCUUAACCCCUGAACUGCACUUGAAACUGUAGUUCUUGAGUGAAGUAUGCGUAGAUAUUAGGAGGAACAUCAGUGGCGAAAGCGGCUUACUGGGCUUUAACUGACGCUGAGGCUCGAAAGCGUGGGGAGCAAACAGGAUUAGAUACCCUGGUAGUCCACGCCGUAAACGAUGAUUACUAGGUGUGGGGGGACUGACCCCUUCCGUGCCGCAGUUAACACAAUAAGUAAUCCACCUGGGGAGUACGACCGCAAGGUUGAAACUCAAAGGAAUUGACGGGGGCCCGCACAAGCAGUGGAGUAUGUGGUUUAAUUCGAAGCAACGCGAAGAACCUUACCAGGUCUUGACAUCGUGAGCAUAGCUUAGAGAUAAGUGAAAUCCCUUCGGGGACUCAUAGACAGGUGGUGCAUGGUUGUCGUCAGCUCGUGUCGUGAGAUGUUGGGUUAAGUCCCGCAACGAGCGCAACCCUUACUGUUAGUUGCUACGCAAGAGCACUCUAGCAGGACUGCCGUUGACAAAACGGAGGAAGGUGGGGAUGACGUCAAAUCAUCAUGCCCCUUAUGACCUGGGCUACACACGUACUACAAUGGCUGUAAACAGAGGGAAGCAAAGCAGUGAUGCAGAGCAAAACCCUAAAAGCAGUCUUAG